ACUACAUGGUAUGGGCACUUACGAAUGAUGUCCUUAUGUCUCUCUCAUAUUUUAUAGAAUAGUUCUCCAUCUAUUUGGAAAAAACUAGUGAUAACUUUUCUAAUUU